rnacentral:misc_RNA from 1 species
CGAUCACACGGCUAUAUCACGUGUGUACAACAAGGAAGUAUAUUCUGCAGGUCGGAUGUCUAAUGGCGGUUGACGUCAUGUACAGGGUCGGAAAGUCGCACCUGCUAGAAAGAAGAAUGAAUACGUGUGAUCUUCUUUGUCUUCUGAUCUUCAUGACCCUCCUCUCUGGAACCACUGGGGCAAGCCUGACCGCUUCACCAAGCCAAAUAGCAAUCGGGGGCAGUAACCCAACAUCUCAGUUGACUGUAAGUUGCAGGCCAGAUGCACCUGGAAUAACUACAUUGUAUAACAUGGAGAUUGGCAAGAAGUCUUCUGCUGGCUUUGAUCAGCCUAUAAUACGAUUGACCAACACAGAUACGUCAGUACAAGUAGUGGACACAAGUCUACAGCAGCGGAUGACAGCCUCAGGUUCUAUCAGUGGAGCAACAGGCAGUAUACAGUUCAUCCUGACAGAUCUGAGAUCUGCUGAUGCUGCUUCUACAUACUACUGCAACGUUAUACUUGGCGGGAUCAGCUGAAACUGAUGAGGCUACGGCCAACAUCACAGCUAGAACUUAUCCAGAGCAAAUAGAGAUGUUCCCCACUCCUGACAGGGUCCAGUAUGACGAUGGUCAACUCUUGUCAAUGAGAUGUACAGGCAGGAUCGGGAACCAGUUUGAUGAGAACAACCUCCAGAACCUGUGGACAUGGGAGUGGCGAUCUGGAAACAACGAGUUCGCCUCCUGGACACGAUACCCGAACAACCAAAAUAUCACCUACGACCGUCCUACUUCAGUAGCGGAAUGUCAAUAUACAGGGGCGUCAACGCUGGUUCAUACAGUCUCGAAUCUUGACAAUGGGAGACAGUUCAGGUGUUCUGUCAUAAGUGAAGAAUACAGUGCAAACAAGACUGUUUAUGUUGUUGGUCAACAACCACCACGACCAACAACUCCUGCCGAAACACCUACAAAUGGUCAACAACCACCACGACCAACAACUCCUGCCGAAACACCUACAAAUGGUCAACAACCACCACGACCAACAACUCCUGCCGAAACACCUACAAAUGGUCAACAACCACCACGACCAACAACUCCUGCCGAAACACCUACAAAUGGUCAACAACCAUCAUCACCAACAACUCCUUCCGAAACACCUACAAAUGGUCAACAACCACCACGACCAACAACUCCUGCCGAAACACCUACAAAUGGUCAACAACCACCACGACCAACAACUCUUUCCGAAAAGCCUACAAGUGGUGGAGUGGCUAUAGGUGUGUGUGUAAUGCCGGUCGUUGGUGCCAUCUGUCUGGGUUUUGCGUUCGUCUUCAGGGACAAACUAGCAGACUGCAUAUGAGGUUGUUUCAGGACCAAAGCACACCGGUAACGCAGAGAAGACAGUAGUCUCUAAGUGUAGGUGAUCCAAAAUCCAAGAAGCCAUCUACAUGAAAACGAUUCAAGCCAUCCUUCAACCGUGAGCAAGAGUACUACACAUCUCCAGAUUGCCUGCCAUCAACUAAUCAAAGACUCCAAUCAGAUAUAAUCCUUCUGUGUUUAUCUGUAUGUUUACACGUAUGCUAAAAGUGCUUCUCUGAUCUAUUGUUAAAACACUACUUCAUAUCUGUAUAUAUGGCUCUCGACACUACCUUGUACAGCUACUGCUUGAUAACAGUGUAGCUUCUACGCGUCUACAUACUCACAGUAAAUAAAGAAGUUGUCCAUCCAUAAAUACUAUCAUUACAAAAAUAAUAGAGUUGAUGCUGCUUCAAUUGACAAUACAAAUAAAGAAUAUUUAAAAAGUC